CUAAAUCCACAGCGCUUUG
rnacentral:snRNA from 1 species